GGUCAGGGUUAGCAAUCUCUCUUUCAGGCUGGUCUCCCAGGCUCCUGCAAAGUCAAGUGAAGCAGAUGGUUUGUCUGAUCUCCAGCAGUGAUUCAUCCCGCACUAAGUUGGUUCAAAAGUCUCAUACGUAUCGGAGCUGUACUCAUGAAUAGACACACAGACACAGGACAGGGUAUCAAGCUUUUAGUUGGCAAAGAAAAAGGCCCAAGACCAAAUGAGCUGAAGUGCUCGGCCAUUACAGAAAAAGACUAUGGAAACAAGACAAAUCAUCAAAACACAAUCACAAAAAAGAAGAGCGGCAGUGGCAGUACGGAGAUUCAGCACAUGGCUGUAUAUGGAGAAAAGUUAUGGAGAGAAAAGCCAUGCUUGCACUGGAAGCAAUGAAAAUGCCUUAUUCCCAUUCCAGCAGCAAAACUACUUGUGGUAAUAAUCACCAGAAAAAUCGGAAGUCCCAUAGCCAAUACCUGACCCAGACAAGUAACCAUAUCUUGGACAAGAUGGCCCUGUUUCAGAGCUGCAUUCUCCAGUUUCAGCUCUGGGACCAUAAUAUUCAUAUCCACCACACUCACCACCACCCUCAUAACAUCCAUCCCCUCCUGAAAAAUGCCCACUUUCAAAGCCGUAACCCUCCCUGCCAGAACUAGAGAUAUCCCCAGAACAUGAACCAACAUAUCCGUAACCUUCACCACAAGAACUCGAACCCGAAACACCACAGCUGUGACUGCCAGGUGAAAUACAUGACCCUCCACUGAAAGUUCCAGCGUCAUGGGAUACAGAACCACCACUGCCAAAGCUUCCACCAAAACCAGACCCAGAGCCAGAGCCGCCCCCUCCACAGAUGGAGCCUCCACUUCCACUGCCAUAGCUGGAACCUCCAUGACCUGAGCUUCCACCGCCUCCAGAAAUGGAC
ensembl:lncRNA